GACGAACGCUGGCGGCGUGCCUAAUACAUGCAAGUCGAACGGUCUUUUCUAUGGAAGCUUGCUUCCGCUGAGAAGAUAGUGGCGAACGGGUGAGUAACACGUGGGUAACCUGCCCAUAAGAGGGGGAUAACAUCCGGAAACGGGUGCUAAUACCGCAUAGUUUUCUUGAUCGCAUGAUCGGGAAAGGAAAGACGGCCUUUGUGCUGUCGCUUAUGGAUGGACCCGCGGCGUAUUAGUUAGUUGGUGAGGUAACGGCUCACCAAGACGAUGAUACGUAGCCGACCUGAGAGGGUGAUCGGCCACAUUGGGACUGAGACACGGCCCAAACUCCUACGGGAGGCAGCAGUAGGGAAUCUUCCGCAAUGGACGAAAGUCUGACGGAGCAACGCCGCGUGAGUGAAGAAGGUUUUCGGAUCGUAAAACUCUGU
rnacentral:rRNA from 1 species